rnacentral:lncRNA from 1 species
AUGUCCUCCCCCUUCACCCUGAUCCAAAGUGAGAGGGAGCCUCACAGAUGGUUCUGCCAUGGACCUUCAUGUGCUGAAUGCAACAUGGGGGCUGUGAUGCUUUGUUAUCUGUUCACAUGUGGGUGGUCCCCUUCAAAGCUUCCCGUGAUCCCUCACAUGGCCUGGGAGUUCUCUUCCUGUCGGUGUCACCUGAGACUCCUAGGAGGAUAUGAGGCCACCUCACCUACCCGUGGCCUCCUAGGACUGAGAAUAGGGGACGGACUCUGUGGAACCCCUUUGUCAGUAUAUCCCUCAAAGGUCAUGGCGCUGAUCUCAUUCCCGGAAAUUAUCCUACUAUGGGCAUUAGGCCUUUUCUUUGAGGAAAGAAACGACAUGUUACCUUCACCAGCACCAGCACCUCCUACGGACCGUGCCACAGGAAGAAAUGAGCAUCGGAGACAUCCACAGGAGGAAGAGGAAGUGAGCACGAGACACGUCCACGGGUGGAAGUGAGCAUGAGACAUGUCCACGCGACACAUCCAUAGGAGGAAGUGAGCACGGGACACGUCCACGGGAGGAGUGAGCACGGGACACGUCCACGGGAGGAAGUGAGCACGAGACACGUCCACUGGAGGAAGUGAGCACGAGACACGUCCACGGGAGGAAGUGAGCAUGGGACAAGUCCACAUGACACGUCCACGGGAGGAAGUGAGCACGGGACUGUUGCACGGGAGGAAGUGGGCAUGCGACACGUCCACGGGAGGAAGUGGGCAUGCGACACGUCCACGGGAGGAAGUGAGCACGAGACACAUCCACGGGAGGAAGUGAGUAUGAGACACAUCCACGGGUGGAAGUGAUCAUGGGACACGUCCACGGGAGGAAGUGGGCAUGAGACACGUCCACGGGUGGAAGUGAGCACGGGACAUGUCCAUGAGAGGAAGUCAGCAUGGGACACGUCCACGGGAGGAAGUGAGCACGGGACAUGUCCACGGGAGGAAGUGAGCAUGAGACACAUCCACGGGUGGAAGUGAGCACGGGACACGUCCAUGGGAGGAAGUCAGCAUGGGACACGUCCACGGGAGGAAGCAUAAGACACGUCCACAGGAGGAAGUGAGCACGGGACACGUACACGGGAGGAAGUGAGCACGAGACAUGUCCACGGGAGGAAGUGAGUACGAGACACAUCCACAGGAGGAAGUGAGCACGAGACAUGUCUCCCAUGCACAGACCUCCCAGGCCACCGCAGAGUGUGGGCUCCCUCCGUCCUCUGACCGGAUCAUUCACCUGAUUCUUGGUGCUCGGCGUACUUUCGUUUGCUGACCUAAGGACCCUUCCUGCCAUCCAAGGCCUUCGCGUCCCUGUGACCGCCCGCCGGGCAGAAUCAGCCAGAGAGCAGGCCUAUGUUUGCUGGGGCUGAUGGCAGGGGCAGGCGCCAGGCCACCUCACUUUGCUGGGGGUGGUCGUCCCCUAGGAACUUCUCAGGGCUUUUCUGGAUGCCCUGCAGAACGCCUUC